rnacentral:lncRNA from 1 species
CACACACACACACACACACAAUCUUAGAUCCUCCCCUUUGAAACAGCUGGUUCUCUCAUAAAUGAGUUCUGAAGCGUGGAAGUCGAAGAUCAAGACGCUGGCAGCGCUGUUUCUGAGGUAGGUGGGAAAGAACAGACUGAUGCUGGGAAACAUGGCUCUUACACCUAAAGUGCAUUGUCUUGUGGCGAAAGUAGUGAAGAAGGAGGACUUUGGCGGCAGCUGCACAGAGAGAAUGAGAGAGCACGCAAAUAGUGGGGAGAAAGAGGGAGAAGAAGACUCCCCACCAAGCAGGGAGCCUGACGCCAGGCUCAGUCCCAGGACCCCAGGAUCAUGACCAGAGCUGAAGACAGACACCCAACCAUCUGAGCCACCCAGGUG